rnacentral:rRNA from 1 species
UACGUAGGGUGCAAGCGUUAAUCGGAAUUACUGGGCGUAAAGCGUGCGCAGGCGGUUUUGUAAGUCUGACGUGAAAUCCCCGGGCUUAACCUGGGAAUUGCGUUGGAGACUGCAAGGCUAGAAUCUGGCAGAGGGGGGUAGAAUUCCACGUGUAGCAGUGAAAUGCGUAGAUAUGCGGAGGAACACCGAUGGCGAAGGCAAUCCCCUGGGCCUGCACUGACGCUCAUGCACGAAAGCGUGGGGAGCAAACAGG